GCCCUUGUAGUGCAAUGGAUAGCGCGUUGGACUUCUAAUCCAAAGGUUCUAAUCGUGGGUUCAAAUUCCACCUGGGGCG